AGAUACCCCACUAUGCUUAGCCCUAAACUUAGACAACACCAAUACAAUGUUUUCCGCCAGAGAACUACAAGCGAAAAGCUCAAAACUCCAAGGACUUGGCGGUGCUUCAAACCAACCUAGAGGAGCCUGUCCUAUAAUCGAUACCCCACGUUUCACCUUACCGCCUUUUGUCAGUCAGCCUAUAUACCGCCGUCGCCAGCCUACCUUAUAAAAGAAGAAAAGUAAGCAAAAAAGUCACCAACUAACACGUCAGGUCAAGGUGUAGCAAACAAAGCGGCAGAGAUGGGCUACAUUUUUUCAAAGGAAAAAUACGAAUAGAAUGUUGAAACACACCCUUAAAGGUGGAUUUAGUAGUAAAAUAUAAAAGAAAAUAUAUUUUAAACCCGCUCUGAAGCGCGCACACACCGCCCG
rnacentral:rRNA from 1 species